rnacentral:rRNA from 1 species
UACGGGGGGGGCAAGCGUUGUUCGGAAUCAUUGGGCGUAAAGGGCGCGCAGGUGGCUCUGUAUGUCUGCCGUGAAAGCAUACAGCUCAACUGUAUUGUGUCGGUAGAAACUGCAGGACUUGAGGCUGGGAGGGGCUGGUGGAAUUCCCUGUGUAGCGGUGAAAUGCGUAGAGAUGGGGGAGAACACUCGUGGCGAAGGCGGCCAGCUAGACCAGUUCUGACACUGAGGCGCGACAGCGUGGGGAGCAAACAGG